GGGGCGGGCCGGACUGAGAGGGCCGACAGGUGGCCCGGAGCCGCUCGCCGGACAGCGGCCGAGGGGUUCCCGCAGGCCCGGACGCCGGACCUCUGUUGGUAUUGGUGGCCGUGUCGUGUGGAAAAAGUUACCGGGCGCCCGGGGCCGCGCUGCCUUUUGGAUCCCGGGCGGAGUCCCACCCCCGAGGACUUAAAGGAGAAGAAGGAAGUUGUGGAAGAGGCA
rnacentral:lncRNA from 1 species